UAAUAUUUAUUUUUUUUUUCAAAUAGACUUUGAUGUCACAACAGACCUGUUAGAAAUAUUGCUCUCAAUAUCAAGAGUGUUGAUUGUUUUUUUUUAUUUCCUUUUUAUUGUACUAUCAUUCUAACCAGACACUUGGGUACUCUCAUUUUCCAUAUGCUUUCCUCAGAAUUUAACCUGAGUACAUUUAAAUUGAACGAAUAUUCAUAAACAUGAAAGACUGUACAUUGACGAAGUGAAUUACCAACUUCCAGCUAUAGCCAAUAGAGAACAGCAGUAACGUAGCUAACAAGGAGCAAGGGAAGGGACUGCUGCCGCCGAGCACUUUUUUCAAAAUUGGCACUUUUUCAGCAACUGAGAAAGGAGUUAAAAUUGUUUGAUGUUCUAUAUCCAGAACCACAUGAGCAAAUAUGUUCUUUUCUUUUUAAAAGAAGGCCGAGGUGUAAUUUGAAGAAGAUAAGGCUGUUAUUCUUAGAACGUCAAGCUGCUACGUAAGGGAUCGCUUUACGGCUCGUUAUUUUCUAUAUGUAGUGGAUUCUACGUCGGUAUCGACAAUGAGCUUUCAACUGUUCCAGCAACAAUAUUUCUACUCCCGAAAUUGACGUCAUCGCCAAAACUGAUGAGGUCAGGGAGAAUAAACUGUGUCUCACUGGUGGUUACAGCAUGUAAAAGAACAUUAAGAUCUUCCUUCAGACGGAGACGUCAGACUAUUUUCAACAGAACAGUUUAGUGUAUCUGAAUAAUAAAUCGCAAUGGAUUAUGUCUGCCACAAGCAAAAAGGUGAAGUCCAUCCAACGAGCUUCCAAACAAUUUUCAACUAUCAAAUUCAUUCACAAGAAUUGGGUCAACACAAGGCAAUGCAUGAAAACACUUUCCCAUGGUUCAAAGUAAUAAGAUCGAACACAAACCCAUGUGAUUAAAACUCAAUUCCUAACUACUCGGCCAUCCACACGACGAGUGGUUUUAUUCAGAUAUGCAGUGUUAAGUUAUUAUAUUCUACACCCUAAAUAGUUUAUUCAAUGUCUACCCUGUAUAAAAUGGCUGUAUAUACUUUUA